rnacentral:rRNA from 1 species
UACGGGGGGAGCAAGCGUUGUUCGGAAUUACUGGGCGUAAAGGGCUCGUAGGUGGCCAUCUAAGUCAGACGUGAAAUCCCCCGGCUUAACCUGGGAACUGCGUCUGAUACUGGACGGCUUGAGUAUGGGAGAGGGAUGUAGAAUUCCAGGUGUAGCGGUGAAAUGCGUAGAUAUCUGGAGGAAUACCGGUGGCGAAGGCGGCAUCCUGGACCAUUACUGACGCUGAGGCGCGAAAGCUAGGGGAGCAAACGGG